GACUUUCUGUAUCUCCAACUUCUUUUAUGGCCUGGGAAAAGCUCCUACUGAUACAGGUGAUGAGGGGAACAUUGCCGCAAGUCAGGGAUUUGCCAACAGCUUUCCCAAGUGUAUUGCUGCUGUGAAGACUUUAGAGGGAUUGCCCUGGGAACAUACGGUCAGAUGCAGCAGUAACAAGUGCAGUACCUCACUGAGAGCCAGAUGCAGACAUGGGAUUCACUACUUGCUAAACUGUCAAGGCCGAAGAUCUCUUCAUCCUGAGUGCUCAGAGGUAAAUGAUUUUGUUAACACAGACUUCAUUUAUAUCGUUGGAUCUUGUCUUGAGCCUUUCCAGACAGGAUAAGCAAGGCUCCAACAGGUGAAAAUGAGAGGGAGGAGGUUCCAGUAACUCGAUCUUCUCUCCUGCGCCUUGGGGAGUCACACAAUUUUAAGGCAACUAAAGUAUUUUUGUACUACCACAAAGCAUCUAGUUGGUCUGGAAGAAAUCAACACUUUAAGAGAACUUCUUCAGUAGGUGUUAAGUACUCCUAUCCUCUCAGCAGGAGAUUUUCAUGAAUGAAAACACCUCGAGGGGACGAGUACAGGAAGAAAACAAUGCAUUGCUGAGGGGUGUAAACAUCUUCAUUGUCUUUGGUGGGUCCUCAUCCUCCCUGCCUGCGGUUUCGUGCUUACAGUCUGUGAUCCUGUCAGUUGUUAGGAGCUGACACAGAGGUUUUUUGCUUGUUUACAUCAUAAAGUUAUGUCAUAGCUAUCAUUAAGAUGGUUGGUAACAGAGAGAAGGGCUCAGAGACCCUAGAUCCUGCAGCCCCUGCUGCCUGACAACACUCAAGGCUCAAUGGAAAUGUUCAGCCCUCCCUUUUCUUCCUCUCUUCCUUCCCCAAGUGCAUCUUUGCCUGAAGAGAGAAGGACCACUAAACCACUGGCCACUGAAAUCAGGCAGGGAGAAGGGACAGAACUUUGGAUGCCCGCAGUGACAAGUGGAUCCAUCAGAUCUUGUUUCCAGUAAAAGAAAGGUAUGCAAAAACUCCCAGUUUCCUUGAAAAAGUAUGUAGAGAAUCCACGAGACAGCUGAAGAGGCAAGGACCUUUACUGCCUUUGUUUUCAUGAAGGAAAACAGAUAUUACACACAGACACACACACAUACACACAGACACAGACACACACUUCAUUCCUAGCAUGCAUUGGUUUUGACUGCAUGUCCCAGAUUUCCCUUUUUCCAUGCCAUCCUCACCUUCUCCUGCCUCAUGCUUUUGCCUCCUGAACUCCUCUUCCUGCUUGGGAAAAUAUGGGACAACUCUACCCAAAUACCCUUUCUGUCUCAGUGCCUGUUUCCUUUACUACCUGCCCCCAACAAACAAAACUACAUAAAAUUCCUUUUUAAUUUUCCAAACUAGUUUGAGUACUAUUUGAGCUGUAUUUCUGACUGGGUUUAAACAGUUGACAAGCAGUUAUGGUGCUUGUCAAAAUGCAUAAUGCUAGCAAUGGAGCAGGUGAUUUUAACAAUCAAUGCAAUUUUAGAAAGCAAUCUCCUUUGUCCUCUUAAUACUGUUACACUUCUUACUUCUGCUGCCUUUACUUAGUAAAAGUUAUUGUAGAAACCUAGACAAGAAAGAUGUCAUCUCUUUCUGACUCUCAGUCAAUAAAAACCUUCUCUGUAUUAUUGGGAAAAAAAAAGGAUUGGAGAUACAUUCUUCCAGCCCUUUCAUCUGCAUUUGCAGUAGGUCUCUGAAUGUCAAGGUCACACAUUUAUUUUAGACUUUUUAGCUGUUAGCCAAAUAGCAGCAGUGGAAUUUGAUCAUUAGGUACUCAAACCCAAGAAAAACGACCAUAUGGUUACAUGUUAUUAAAUGUUACAAAGAAAGAACAGAAGAAAAUAAAUCCCUGCAUAUCUGUUCAGUACUUAGAGAAAUUUCAUCCAAAAAAUUCAAUUAGUUCCUUGCACAUGCCACAUGGAACACAUCAGUUUCACUGCUUCAAGUACAAUUAGGCAGAGAGACUGCAAAGCAUUUAGGAAGGAAAGAGGCCAAGGUUUGGCGUGGCAGCAGCAUCCCCACGCUGCUCUGCUCAGGGAGGAGACUCCCAGCUCCUCAUCGGAGCUGUGUCUAGACAGUGACAGCGCACCCAGCACUGAGUGAGACAUCAAGAGCGGCAUCUAAUCAUGUUUUUGAUCUACAAGAAAAUUAAAAAUAUAUGAAUCC
ensembl:lncRNA